CCUACGGGAGGCAGCAGUGGGGAAUAUUGGACGAUGGGCGAAAGCCUGAUCCAGCAAUGCCGCGUGAGUGAUGAAGGCCUUAGGGUUGUAAAGCUCUUUUACCAGGGAUGAUAAUGACAGUACCUGGAGAAUAAGCUCCGGCUAACUCCGUGCCAGCAGCCGCGGUAAUACGGAGGGAGCUAGCGUUGUUCGGAAUUACUGGGCGUAAAGCGUACGUAGGCGGUUAUUCAAGUCAGAGGUGAAAGCCUGGAGCUCAACUCCAGAACUGCCUUUGAAACUAGAUAGCUAGAAUCACGGAGAGGUUAGUGGAAUUCCGAGUGUAGAGGUGAAAUUCGUAGAUAUUCGGAAGAACACCAGUGGCGAAGGCGACUAACUGGACGUGUAUUGACGCUGAGGUACGAAAGCGUGGGGAGCAAACAGGAUUAGAUACCCUGGUAGUCCACGCCGUAAACGAUGAUAACUAGCUGUUCGGUCUCUACGAGACUGAGUGGCGCAGCUAACGCAUUAAGUUAUCCGCCUGGGGAGUACGGUCGCAAGAUUAAAACUCAAAUGAAUUGACGG
rnacentral:rRNA from 1 species